rnacentral:rRNA from 1 species
UUGAAUGGAAUUGCUAAUUCCAUAGCGCACUGCUCAGUAACAAGUGAUUAACUUACCCUUAGGUGGGGCAUAACCUCGGGAAACUGAGGCUAAUUCCCCAUAGUUAGAUUUUCCUGGAAUGGUGAUCUAUCGAAAGAUAUUCUGAAAUGCAAGAUGUUUGCCUAAGGAUAGGAUCGCUCUCGAUUACGGUAGUUGGUGAGGUAAUGGCUCACCAAGCCUCUGAUCGAUAAGGGCCGUGAGAGCGGUAGCCCUGAGAUGGAUACUGAGACAAUGAUCCAGGCCUUACGAGGCGCAGCAGGCGCGAAACCUUUACAAUGCACGAAAGUGUGAUAAGGUUACCCGGAGUGCUCAGAAUUAAAUUUUGAGCUGUUAUGGGUGUGUAAAUAACCCCAUGAGAAAGGAGAGGGCAAGGCUGGUGCCAGCCGCCGCGGUAAAACCAGCUCUUCAAGUGGUCGGGAUUUUUAUUGGGCUUAAAGUGUCCGUAGCCGGUUUAGAAAGUUCCUGGUCAAAUCUGGCAGCUUAACUGUCAGGUCGCUAGGAAUACUACUUUACUAGAGGGUGGGAGAGGUCAGAGGUACUCCAGGGGUAGCGGUGAAAUGCGAUAAUCCUUGGGGGACCACCAGUGGCGAAGGCGUCUGACUGGAACACGCCUGACGGUGAGGGACGAAAGCCAGGGGAGCGAACGGGAUUAGAUACCCCGGUAGUCCUGGCUGUAAACGAUGCGUGCUGGGUGUUGGUAGGGCUAUGAGCCGUAUCAGUGCCGUAGGAAAACUGUUAAGCGCGCCGCCUGGGAAGUACGCUCGCAAGAGUGAAACUAAAGGAAUGGCGGGGAGACCACAAGGGGA